GAACGUUUGAAAUGACAGAUGGUACGAACCCUAACUGUGACAUGUGACAGUUGGCCUGAAGGCUAAGUAGCUUACGGACGGGUAGCACAUACAACGGGGAUGCACGGGACAUAGUCGUGAGUUACAUCCUUGGUGAGACGAAGCAGGACAGAGUGAGCUUGUAUCAUGCUACUCAGGAUGGUGUGAUACUUAAAACAACUACAAUAUGCCAGAAAAGAACUGUCCUUGGUGUUUGUGUUCGCCAUCAUUCAGAGCAACCUGAUGACGCUGUGGUCGUGAUGAAUGCGACUCAUGCCCCAAGGAGGUAACUUGAAAAUUCGAGGCCAUUACACUGCAGAAGUGGGACUAGAACCAGGAGUGUUUGCCAACUGUCUCCAUGCUGCUUCUCGGGCAUGAACAUAUUAAUGGUUGUCACUCACCAAUUUGAACGACCACUGUAAUGUCCCUUAAGCCUCCUGUCCCCCUCAAGAAUGAGCACUAUUUCUUCGGGUGAUGAAUUGCUCAGGAAUCCCAGUGGGAUGGGGGGCACUUGGGGGGCUCAGGGCAGGACUAUUUACCCAAUAAGGUAGAGGGACUUGAUGUGACAUUAGUGACAUCACUACCUGGUAGCUACUAAUGGAAGAGUACACCGGCUCCUUCCAUAUCUUCAGACAACAGGCACCCUUGAAGGGAGGCUCUAUUGUUCCCAUGUAGAAGAAUAGUGUCCAAGAGAACGGCACCAACGCCUGCUUUCUCUAAGUCAUGGGGCAGUCAAUGGCAUUCUUUAUCAUCUGCAAAUGUCUAACAAACUCUCGCCAGUACCUGUCGUCAAAGGCCUUCAGAAGAGGCCUCCUUGUUGCCUGAGUACGCAUUGAUAGUACAAAUGGUGAUCUCUUUGCAGAUGGCACCUACUACCCUGGCGUAGGACACAGCACAGGCUGAGUUUUUGUCCACUGUCUGAAGUAAUGCAGCUCCCAGUCAUGACCACCAAGACCAUAGGAAAGGGCCUCAGAGGUCAUCUCUACAAACUCAG
rnacentral:lncRNA from 1 species